CAGGCCGCCAUGUUUUGUCCUCUCUGGGGACAGUUCAAGUGUUCUGUGGCUCCUGUGGCAAACAUGUACAGUUUUUGGCAGAAGUUGAACACAACAGCAUUCCAUUAGGAGGGUCAGGAACUCACGCUUGGGACCACCAGUGUCCACUCCAUCCUCAGUUUGUCCCUCAUCAUCAGUAAACUUAACCUGCAUCUGAUGAGAGGGGUCGAAUGAGGCCCCUUUGAAGCCGCGGAUUGCUCCAUCCCACACAUUGGCUCUAUUAAUAUUGAACCUGCUGCAAGAGUUUGCUCCGUUUCCUCUUCUGGCUCAGACUGGCUGUCAAUAAUGAUAAGUGCAUACACAGUUGUGUAGUUGCUGCAGUGAGAAGACAGUUGAAUAAUUACUUUCAAAUACAUAAUAUAUGCAUGACAGUCAUAUUUGCAAAAGGAUGUCGAUCCUCUUCCUGUUUUCAAUACAUUGGGUUCUAAACUGACAACAGCACUUUGUCAUACUCCUGCACAAUCCUUGUAA